GUUUACAGAUAUUGCUGUCAAACACAAAGGAGACAAGCAACCAUUGACGUUAGUACAAUUUCGAAAAAUGUUAGGAUUAUCACCCGUGGAUGAGGAAGUAGAGAAAAUAUUAGAAUCUCGACAUUUACUCUUAAAUCCAACUAAUAGCGAUGCUAUUAUUAAGGCGGAAGCUUUAUCCGAGUACUUUAACAAGAUCAUUCUUUUGGACAGUUUUGGUAAGGAAAUAAAUACUAACAUAUGACGUACAUAUAUAACAAAUAAUAAAAACAUUCGUAACGC